UACAGAGGGGGCAAGCGUUAUUCGGAAUUAUUGGGCGUAAAGGGCGCGUAGGCGGCCUGACAAGUGGAAGGUGAAAUCCCUCGGCUUAACCGAGGAACUGCCCUCCAAACUGUUUGGCUUGAGACCGGGAGAGGUGAGUGGAAUUCCCAGUGUAGCGGUGAAAUGCGUAGAUAUUGGGAAGAACACCGGUGGCGAAGGCGGCUCACUGGACCGAUACUGACGCUGAGGCGCGAAAGCGUGGGGAGCGAACGAGG
rnacentral:rRNA from 1 species